CCUAACAAUGAAGAAAUCACAAAAAACAGGUCUGUGAAGAUUUAUUCCUUCCAUUCCACACAAUUCUAGGCCAGAAAGAUUCUCUGGGUAUCUUAUGCUCUUGUAAAUAUCCCAAGUGUCUAUUAAUCAGGGUGAGCAAACACAUCUUAAAUAACCUAGAGGAAUCCCACCAAGUACAUCCAAUAGCUUAUGUUUCUAAAGAGCUACAAAAGAAAAAGUUCACUGAUUUUUGGUUUAACAUAACAGCAGAAUUUUGAAAGUUAUGAUGGCCUAAGUUAUAAACAGUGGGGCCUUGAAACAAAGGUUCAGCCUAGCAAAGAAGAUAGAAGACAAAAUAAAGUACUGUAUGUUUUAAGCCAUUCUUAGUGCUGUAAUAUGUUUCCACCAACUUGCUGGGAUCAGAGCUAGCAAUCCAUCAUGCAGCUACAAGACAAACUGUAUCACUGAAAUCCAAGGGCAAAGGUGAGCUAAGAACAAGAAGGAAAGGCCAAGGAAACGAGCCUACCUCUCUGCAGUGUCCUGUCAACAGACCAGACCUGCCAGAUGAGAAACUGUAUCCUGAGAGGACCUUGAGCUCUACCACCAGGCUUUCACACAGGUGAAACUGAGGUACCUUAAUCAGUGUAUGUUACCUAAAUUUUUAUUUUUUCUAAACUUGUAACAUUUUUCUUCUUUAUUACAGGUAAAAAGGAAGGUAGGUUGUCCAUCCCCCCAAGUUU